rnacentral:rRNA from 1 species
CCUACGGGGGGCAGCAGUGAGGAAUAUUGGUCAAUGGUCGGGAGACUGAACCAGCCAAGCCGCGUGAGGGAUGAAGGUACAGAGUAUCGUAAACCUCUUUUGUCAGGGAACAAAGGCGGGGACGUGUCCCCGGAUGAGUGUACCUGAAGAAAAAGCAUCGGCUAACUCCGUGCCAGCAGCCGCGGUAAUACGGAGGAUGCGAGAGUUUUCCGGAUUUAUUGGGUUUAAGGGGGGCGCAGGCGGUAUUUUAAGUCAGCGGUAAAAGCCCGGGGCUCAACCCCGGCCGGCCGGUGAAACUGGCAGUCUCGAGUUGGAGAGAAGUAUGCGGAAUGCGCGGUGUAGCGGUGAAAUGCAUAGAUAUCGCGCAGAACUCCGAUUGCGAAGGCAGCAUGCCGGCGCCAAACUGACGCUGAAGCACGAAAGCGUGGGUAUCGAACAGGAUUAGAUACCCUGGUAGUC